rnacentral:rRNA from 1 species
CCUACGGGAGGCAGCAGUAGGGAAUAUUGCUCAAUGGGGGAAACCCUGAAGCAGCAAAGCCGCGUGGAGGAUGAAGGUUUUCUGAUUGUAAACUCCUUUUGUUAGGGAAGAUAAUCACGGUAUCUGACGACUCAGCCCCGGCUACCUCCGUGCCAGCAGCCGCGGUACUACGGAGGGUGCAAGCGUUACUCGGAAUUACUGGGCGUAAAGAGCGCGUAGGCGGGAUAGCAGGUCAGAUGUGAAAUCCUAUGGCUUAACCAUAGAACUGCAUUUGAAACUGUUAUUCUAGAGUAUGGGAGAGGUAGGUGGAAUUCUUGGUGUAGGGGUAAAAUCCGUAGAGAUCAAGAGGAAGACUCAUUGCGAAGGCGACCUGCUAGAACAUAACUGACGCUGAUGCGCGAAAGCGUGGGGAGCAAACAGGAUUAGAUACCCCAGUAGUC